GAACUCUAUCUUUCAAAUAUAUAUAUCAUUAAGAGUCUUUCUCCCAUGUUGGAUGGGUCAUUGGAUAAGCUUAAAAUUUUGGAGGUUUUUGAAUGUGGAAAUCUCCAAACUAUUCCAUCUCGCAAAUUACCUUCAUUGGAGGAACUCACUCUUAACUGUUUAUCUAGUACUAAGAGUCUUUCUCCCAUGUUGGAUGAGUCAUUGGAUAAGCUUAAAAUUUUGAAGGUUGUUGAUUGUAGAAAGCUCCAAACUAUUCCAUCUCUCAAAUUACCUUCAUUGGAGGAACUCACUCUUAGUGGUUUAGAUAGCAUUGAGAGUCUUUCUUUCUUGUUGGAUGAGUCAUUGGAUAAACUUAAAGUCUUGAGUAUUAGACAUUGCUAUAAGCUGUGGAGUUUUCCACAUGUCAUGUUGCCUUCACUAGAAAUCCUUGAUCUUUCAUAUUGUGAUUCUCUCGAGAGUUUUCCACGUAUCAUCAGUCGGUCAAUGACUAAACUUAAAAUAUUGAGACUUAAUGGUUGUAAAAAGCUCAGGAAUAUUCAUGCUAUCAAUGUGGCUUCCUUAGAUGAGUUCUAUCAUUCAGGAUGUGAGAGUGUCAAGUUUACCAC
rnacentral:lncRNA from 1 species